AUACCUGAUGAGGAUAAUAACUAAAAUGAAUAUAUAUGUCUCUGUUAAGGCCUGAAUAGGUCCAUACAACCAGUUGUAUAAUAAAAUCUACUGUAUUGGUCCUGGGCCGGACCGAUUUUAAGAUUUUAUUUACUGUUAUCUGUUAUUGUCCCUUUUCAAUUCCUUGUUUUCUGUUUUUUUUAAAAGCUAAAUCAAUUUACUGUUUUGCUGUUAUUGGAACCCCCCUUGCCCCC
rnacentral:lncRNA from 1 species